UACGAAGGGUGCAAGCGUUACUCGGAAUUACUGGGCGUAAAGGGCGCGUAGGCGGCCUGCUAAGUCGAACGUGAAAUCCCCGGGCUCAACCCGGGAACUGCGUCCGAUACUGGUUGGCUUGAAUCCGGGAGAGGGAUGUGGAAUUCCAGGUGUAGCGGUGAAAUGCGUAGAUAUCUGGAGGAACACCGGUGGCGAAGGCGGCAUCCUGGACCGGUAUUGACGCUGAGGCGCGAAAGCUAGGGGAGCAAACGGG
rnacentral:rRNA from 1 species